AACUUGUUGAAGAUGUUGAUAUGCUUCAGAGACUACAGUUGGAGAAACACUGACUGCUGGAUGAGGAGCGGAAGCAAACAGUUUUCGUGUUUCGUAAUUCACCCAUGGCCAUGGGAAUUCGCUAAUCAUGUUUGAUUGUAUUGGCAACUGUGUUCUUUAAUGAAAAUUCAAGCUCGUGGAUCGUCUGCUGUUCCUGGCUUUCGUCAAUUUUCGCUUACCUUCAUGACUGCACGUUAAAAUUUGACAAUUUUUUGCAGUUUCGUCA